rnacentral:rRNA from 1 species
AGAGUUUGAUUCUGGCUCAGAUUGAACGCUGGCGGCGUGCUUAACACAUGCAAGUCGAACGUGAAAGUCCUUCGGGACGAGUAAAGUGGCGCACGGGUGAGUAACGCGUGGAUAAUCUACCCUUAAGAUGGGGAUAACGGCUGGAAACGGUCGCUAAUACCGAAUACGCUCCCGAUUUUAUCGUUGGGGGGAAAGAUGGCCUCUGCUUGCAAGCUAUCGCUUAAGGAUGAGUCCGCGUCCCAUUAGCCAGUUGGCGGGGUAACGGCCCACCAAGGCGACGAUGGGUAGCCGGUCUGAGAGGAUGACCGGCCACACUGGAACUGGAACACGGUCCAGACUCCUACGGGAGGCAGCAGUGGGGAAUAUUGCGCAAUGGGCGAAAGCCUGACGCAGCGACGCCGCGUGAGGGAUGAAGGUUCUCGGAUCGUAAACCUCUGUCAGGGGGGAAGAAACCCCCUCGUGUGAAUAAUGCGAGGGCUUGACGGUACCCCCAAAGGAAGCACCGGCUAACUCCGUGCCAGCAGCCGCGGUAAUACGGAGGGUGCAAGCGUUAAUCGGAAUCACUGGGCGUAAAGCGCACGUAGGCGGCUUGGUAAGUCAGGGGUGAAAUCCCACAGCCCAACUGUGGAACUGCCUUUGAUACUGCCAGGCUUGAGUACCGGAGAGGGUGGCGGAAUUCCAGGUGUAGGAGUGAAAUCCGUAGAUAUCUGGAGGAACACCGGUGGCGAAGGCGGCCACCUGGACGGUAACUGACGCUGAGGUGCGAAAGCGUGGGUAGCAAACAGGAUUAGAUACCCUGGUAGUCCACGCUGUAAACGAUGGGUGCUGGGUGCUGGGAUGUAUGUCUCGGUGCCGUAGCUAACGCGAUAAGCACCCCGCCUGGGGAGUACGGUCGCAAGGCUGAAACUCAAAGAAAUUGACGGGGGCCCGCACAAGCGGUGGAGUAUGUGGUUUAAUUCGAUGCAACGCGAAGAACCUUACCCAGGCUUGACAUCUAGGGAACCCUUCGGAAAUGAAGGGGUGCCCUU